AGAUGUGAGGACAAUUUGACUGCAAUAUCUUUCACCCCAUCAAUCACCUGGAUUGAUUCAGUUGAUGGCUGACCAAAAAGGUAUCUCCUCCCUCCCUGCUUAAUUUAAAUACCUCCUGAAGCUAUGUACUCCAUAGAAAAAAAUUGCCCAUCUCAGAAGAAGUUUGGCAUUAUUCCAUUCAGAAUAUACACUAGCUGUGAUCCACUGUUAGAACCUACAAGUUUGAUAAUCACUUAAUGACAAGCAAUAUUUAACACCGAAAGUGACCUUUAUGAAAGGGUCACCAGAAUUC
rnacentral:snRNA from 1 species